rnacentral:rRNA from 1 species
UACGAAGGGGGCUAGCGUUGUACGGAAUUACUGGGCGUAAAGCGCGCGCAGGCGGUUCUCCAAGUCAGUGGUGAAAGCCCGGAGCUCAACUCCGGAACUGCCAUUGAAACUGUUGAACUUGAGGACGAGAGAGGUGAGUGGAAUUCCCAGUGUAGAGGUGAAAUUCGUAGAUAUUGGGAAGAACACCAGUGGCGAAGGCGGCUCACUGGCUCGUUUCUGACGCUCAGGCGCGAUAGCGUGGGGAUCAAACAGG